rnacentral:rRNA from 1 species
GAUGAACGCUAGCGGCAGGCUUAACACAUGCAAGUCGAGGGGUAUAACACUUCGGUGUUAGAGACCGGCGCACGGGUGCGUAACGCGUAUGUAAUCUACCUUUUAUAGAGGGAUAGCCCAGAGAAAUUUGGAUUAAUACCUCAUGGUAUCAUGGAUAGGCAUCUAUUUAUAAUUAAAGAUUUAUCGGUAAAAGAUGAGCAUGCGUCCCAUUAGCUAGUUGGUAUGGUAACGGCAUACCAAGGCGACGAUGGGUAGGGGUCCUGAGAGGGAGAUCCCCCACACUGGUACUGAGACACGGACCAGACUCCUACGGGAGGCAGCAGUGAGGAAUAUUGGACAAUGGGCGCGAGCCUGAUCCAGCCAUGCCGCGUGCAGGAUGACUGCCCUAUGGGUUGUAAACUGCUUUUGUACAGGAAGAAACCCUUCUACGAGUAGAAGAUUGGCGGUACUGUAAGAAUAAGGAUCGGCUAACUCCGUGCCAGCCGCCGCGGUAA